CCUAUCUCUCUCCCUCCCCGUGAUAUUUCCUACCUCUAUCUCGUGUGGUGGCGAGGGAAGUUAGAUCUAAGUCUACCUUACCUCUACCAUGACGGCCACCGCACCCCUCCCUUUGGCUCCCUCCUUCCCUUUCUACAUCCCUCCUGAGCUAGCUAAGAUCUCCGACGAGGCCGUUGCUCUGAGGCCGCGUGUUGGUCGCCGUCGGGAUCCAAGGAUCCGGUGCCUCUACAUCUCUGUCACGAGAACAUCACGACGUAGCGGCCUCCUCAUGCUUUGCGCGGCGAGCACUUCGAUCUCUUCCUCCCGUCGUCGCUUUGCGAGGGCUGGCUCUUCCGACGUGCUCCUCCAAUGGAUCUAGCUGGCACGUCAAUGCGCGACUCGAGAGAGGCAACGGCUGCCUCUCUUCCUCCCGGUGCCCCAGCGAGACCCAUCCGUCUCGGGUGAGAUACGACGAUAGGUUCCCUCUCCGCCUCCUUCCGAGCACGACCACACCCACACCCACACAGCCAUGUGGCUGCGCACUUUCGGAGGACGACUACACAGAUCAAUCCCAGGUUGGUAUGUGCUGCUAUUAUCAGAGGUGCCCCUUUUGGCUAAUACAAUUUCGUUUUUGUUCAAUACCCUGGUCACUCACGUUGGUUGGUGAUAGCAAAUAUUUACACAUGAUGCAUGCUGCCAUCAUCGAAGAACCCAGAAAUCAAUAAGUCUAAUGCUAGUUGCUGAAUCUUUCUGCGAUUUUGGAAACUACAUAUUGGUUGCAACCAUCCAACCUUGUACGUCUUGCAGCCCUGAUAGCAUCCAACAAGUUAAUAGCAGUGUAGCACAAUUCUCUACCUGAUUCCCAUAAUUCUCACCACCAGGUUUGGGAAAUUUACUUAUCAGCAAUUGUUGGGGACGGUAAUCUAUCUGAAGGUGAGCACUUGCGCACUAAUAACAGAGCAACUUGACUAGAACAAAUUAAAAUGUAGGACCAGCUUCACGCAACCUACACAUUACUUACCAUCACAUAUAUCCUGACAGCUACAACUUAAUCAAUGAUGGUAUCCAAUCUGCUGGUGAGCACUUUCCCAAACAUCCGUCCAUGCUCACUCACUGCCAUUAUGCUUACAGAUUCUUAAGCUUAUACAACACUUUUUUUUAGAAUCAACACUAAAAAAAUCAAACAUUGUUUGUAGUCUCCAUACAGCUACACUAUUGAUUUAUCUCUCAACCAAGAAAGCUUAUAGGGAGUUUCUCCAUGGUGCUAGCCUCUGCUACCAUUUUGCAAUAUGAUGCAAGUUUUGUUUGGAAAAUAAAACAAAUUCUGCCUGAUUGAGCAAUGGUAUCAGUAAAAUUUUGAAUUAGCAAAGCUGAUGACUAACUCCAUGUCGCUAUACUCCUCCUUGUUAAACUGUUGUAAUGUCCAGGCUGAUCCUCGCUGGUCGCUACCUCCGUCCUGUCCUAGCGCAUGUGUUCUCAUUGCACUUUCCCAUCUGCUCCACACCCUGCGUGCGCUGCUGCUACCCACAUGUGUGCGCGUCCGUAGCUAUCUUCCGCCCCUUGAGUGUGUCCAGCGCGAGCGCCUUUGCUAUUGUAUCCCUAGACAAUGAGACGAAGACCCCUUAUAAAGCAUUACUACUAUUUCUAUAAUUUCUACUUGUUCUUUUUGUACAAUGGUAGUAGUUGGGUGUGAUGUUGUAGCUAAGUAGCUAGUUAUGUUCUACAUGGCACACACACAUAGACAAAUCUUAAUUAGCUAGUUAUGAUCAGAUGAUAAAUAGUACCGUUCUUAAUAUUCCCUUGAUUGUGAGAUUUCCUAAUUAACUUGGUUGUGAUUCAUGUUCCAUGGUUGACUUCACGGUGUUCUGGACGGUGGUGCAUAUAUUGCUAUGAAGGUAAGAGAAGGUGCAGCAAGUGUUGUGAAGGUAUGAGAAGACAACCAAUAUGAUCACGCUAGGUUCUAAAUAUCGAACUUCAGGUCUACCGACAUUAUGAUGUACGGUGAUGCAUCAUUUUUAUUAGUACUAACAGAACAAGGCAAUUAACUUAUCUUUGCUUGAUUACAAAUCGUGUUUUCUCUCUUCCAACUAGGUACAUGACUUUUAGAUGACUGGCUUUGUUUUCUUAAGUAACUCCUAAGGCUAUACUUUCUCUCCAAGCACUAUGCUUAUCCAAUAAUACGUGCCGAAUUUUCACUUGUGCGCAUAGAUGGAUCUAUUCUGGACACUGAAGAAUUAGUAAGGGAAGUAUGUGAUUGCAAGACAAUUGGUGAUGCUUUUUCUUUCGGAUGCUUAACUUCUUGGCUGUUAACUUUUAUUUGAGAGAAGCAUGACUGAGUUGCAGCAGCUGAAUUCUUUGGUUGGAUCAAGAAAAUAUAAUUUGAAGAUUGUACUUAGUUUAUAUUAGUAGAUUGAUAAAUGUAAUAUCAUUCAUAAGAUCUUUUCCUUUGAUCAAAUUGAUGCAAAUGAUAUGGUGUAAUAUUCUUCAUAAAUGUGUUUCCUAGUCAUUAGGUAUGGAUGAUAUAUUGUUGCACCAGUACUAUUGGUAUUUAUUUAUUGUAAUGAUUAUGUAUCCUACACUUUUGUAUA